UACGUAGGGGGCAAGCGUUGUCCGGAUUUAUUGGGCGUAAAGAGCGUGUAGGCGGCUUGGUAGGUCCGCUGUGAAAACUCGAGGCUCAACCUCGAGAUGUCGGCGGAAACCACUUGGCUAGAGUCCGGAAGAGGAGAGUGGAAUUCCAGGUGUAGCGGUGAAAUGCGCAGAUAUCAGGAAGAACACCUAUGGCGAAGGCAGCUCUCUGGGACGGUACUGACGCUGAGACGCGAAAGCGUGGGGAGCGAACAGG
rnacentral:rRNA from 1 species